rnacentral:rRNA from 1 species
GACGAACGCUGGCGGCGUGCCUAAUACAUGCAAGUCGAACGCAGUGGGGACGGGUGAGAAACACGUGGGUAACCUCCCAUCAGAGGGGAUAACACUUGGAAACAGGUGCUAAACCGAUACUGAUGGCUCGACCCGCUGUGGAUUAGCUAGUUGGUGGGGUAACGGCUCACCAAGGCCACGCUGCAUAGCCGACCUGAGAGGGUGAGCAGCCACACUGGGACUGAGACACGGCCCAGACUCCUACGGGAGGCAGCAGUAGGGAAGCUUCGGCAAUGGACGAAAGUCUGACCGAGCAAUGCCGCGUGUGUGAAGAAGGUUUUCGGAUCGUAAAACUCUUUUGGUAGAGAAGCGGUAUCUAACCAAAAAGCAACGGCUAACUACGUGCCAGCAGCCGCGGUAAUAC